GACGAACGCUGGCGGCGUGCCUAAUACAUGCAAGUUGAGCGCUGAAGGUUGGUACUUGUACCCACUGGAUGAGCAGCGCACGGGUGAGUAACGCGUGGGGAAUCUGCCUUUGAGCGGGGGACAACAUUUGGAAACGAAUGCUAAUACCGCAUAAAAACUUUAAACACAAGUUUUAAGUUUGAAAGAUGCAAUUGCAUCACUCAAAGAUGAUCCCGCGUUGUAUUAGCUAGUUGGUGAGGUAAAGGCUCACCAAGGCGAUGAUACAUAGCCGACCUGAGAGGGUGAUCGGCCACAUUGGGACUGAGACACGGCCCAAACUCCUACGGGAGGCAGCAGUAGGGAAUCUUCGGCCAUAGACGAAAGUCUGACCGAGCAACGCCGCGUGAGUGAAGAAGGUUUUCGGAUCGUAAAACUCUGUUGGUAGAGAAGAACGUUGGUGAGAGUGGAAAGCUCAUCAAGUGACGGUAACUACCCAGAAAGGGACGGCUAACUACGUG
rnacentral:rRNA from 1 species